rnacentral:rRNA from 1 species
CUUUCAUGGAGAGUUUGAUCUUGGCUCAGGACGAACGCUGGCGGCGUGCCUAAUACAUGCAAGUCGAGCGCAUGCACCCGGCGGACCUCUUCGGAGG